rnacentral:rRNA from 1 species
UACGUAGGGCGCAAGCGUUGUCCGGAAUUAUUGGGCGUAAAGAGCUCGUAGGCGGCUUGUCGUGUCUGUUGUGAAAGCCCGGGGCUUAACCCCGGGUCUGCAGUGGAUACGGGCAGGCUAGAGGCAGGUAGGGGAGAACGGAAUUCCCGGUGUAGCGGUGAAAUGCGCAGAUAUCGGGAGGAACACCGGUGGCGAAGGCGGUUCUCUGGGCCUGUACUGACGCUGAGGAGCGAAAGCGUGGGGGAGCGAACAGG